rnacentral:rRNA from 1 species
AGAGUUUGAUCCUGGCUCAGGACGAACGCUGGCGGCGUGCUUAACACAUGCAAGUCGAACGGGGAUAGUUGCGGAAGGACUUCGGUUUGGAAGCGAUUAUUCGAGUGGCGGACGGGUGAGUAACGCGUGAGCAAUCUGUCCCAGACAGGGGGAUAACACUUGGAAACAGGUGCUAAUACCGCAUGAGACCACGGCAUCGCAUGGUGCUGAGGUAAAAGGAGAAAUCCGGUUUGGGGUGAGCUCGCGUCCGAUUAGCCAGUUGGCGGGGUAACGGCCCACCAAAGCGACGAUCGGUAGCCGACCUGAGAGGGUGAUCGGCCACAUUGGAACUGAGAGACGGUCCAAACUCCUACGGGAGGCAGCAGUGGGGAAUAUUGGGCAAUGGGCGAAAGCCUGACCCAGCAACGCCGCGUGAGUGAAGAAGGCCUUCGGGUUGUAAAGCUCUGUUACAGGUGACGAAGGAAGUGACGGUAAUCUGUAAGGAAGCCCCGGCUAACUACGUGCCAGCAGCCGCGGUAAUACGUAGGGGGCGAGCGUUGUCCGGAAUGACUGGGCGUAAAGGGCGUGUAGGCGGCCGACUAAGUCUGGAGUGAAAGUCCUGCUUUCAAGGUGGGAAUUGCUUUGGAUACUGGUUGGCUUGAGUGCGGAAGAGGUAAGUGGAAUUCCCAGUGUAGCGGUGAAAUGCGUAGAGAUUGGGAGGAACACCAGUGGCGAAGGCGACUUACUGGGCCGUAACUGACGCUGAGGCGCGAAAGCGUGGGGAGCGAACAGGAUUAGAUACCCUGGUAGUCCACGCGGUAAACGAUGAAUGUUAGGUGUUGCGGGUAUCGACCCCUGCAGUGCCGGAGUAAACACAAUAAACAUUCCGCCUGGGGA